rnacentral:rRNA from 1 species
ACGACCGGGAAUUAGCCCAGCACUGAAUCCUGUAUCUUUGAUAUUAGGAGUUGUAGUGUAAAGGUUGUGUCUUUAAUUGUGAAACGCAUUCCAAAUUCACUUGAUUGUGAUGUUGUCCAUAGAGGGUGUUAGACCCGUUGGGAUGUGUGAAACUGUUAAUGAUGCUUCCUAUGAGUCGGAUUGUUUGAGAUUGCAGUCCAAAUUGGGUGGUAAACUUCACCUAAGGCUAAAUACUUGUGCUAGUCCGAUAGAAAACAAGUACCGUGAGGGAAAGUUGAAAAGAACUUUGAAGAGAGAGUUAAAUAGUACGUGAAAUCGCUUAGAGGUAAACGAGUGGAGCCGAAAAUGUUGUUUGGGAUUCAGUUGGUUGUAUUUUGGCAUGAGAUUGGUGAUAUCUUUUAAAUGGGAAUCGCUGGUUUCAUUUUAUCUUAAAAUGCAAACGAUGCACUUUCCAUACAACAAANCUGCGAUCGAUAGCGUUGAUUUUCUGUCGUAUCAUUGAAGGUGAUCAAUUUUUCGGAAUUGGUUUUAUAGCUUUGAUACACGGUUGAUGAAUUUAUCGGUGAAUACGAUUAGUCAAAAUUANUGUUUGCUAAUAUGAAUUGUUUGAUGGUAAACUUUUAUAUAANAUUGCUGUCAAAUCUUUUUUGUUGGCGUUGGUAAUUGAUUAAUCCAAAUCUGCAGUGUAUAUGUAGGUUACCUACUCGUCCCGUCUUGAAACACGGACCAAGGAGUUUUAUAUGAUCGCGAGUCAAAAGGGCUUUACGAAACCCCASGGCGWAAUUAAUGUAAAGGUUUGCAWUGGUARRCUGAAAUGUGACUUCRAUUUGUURWARWRCAAUSGAAWGCAACAUUGACCCGUCUNAAKAAUUUCRAUUMUGGGCGGAGUUUGAGCGAUCAUGUAGAGACCCGAAAGAUGGUGAACUAUGCUUGUGCAGGUUGAAGUCAGAGGAAACUCUGAUGGAGGACCGCCGCGGUUCUGACGUGCAAAUCGAUCGUCGGACAUGAGUAUAGGGGCGAAAGACUAAUCGAACCAUCUAGUAGCUGGUUCCCUCCGAAGUUUCCCUCAGGAUAGCUGGCGUUUGAUGUGUUGUAGUUUUACCUGGUAAAGCGAAUGAUUAGAAGUAUUGGGGGCGAAAUGUUCUCAACUUAUUNUCAAACUUUAAAUGGGUUCGAAGUGCAGCUCGUUUUAUUAGAGCCGUACAUGGAAUACAAAUGCCUAGUGGGCCAUUUUUGGUAAGCAGAACUGGCGAUGUGGGAUGAACCAAACAUUCGNUUAAGGUGCCUAACAUUACGCUCNUGAGAAACCACAAAAGGUGUUGGUUGAUAAAGACAGCAGGACGGUGNACAUGGAAGUCGUCAUCCGCUAAGGAGUGUGUAACAACUCACCUGCCGAAUCAACCAGCCCUGAAAAUGGAUGGCGCUGUAGCGUGAGACCUAUACCGGAUCGGUAUCGUAAGGUGAUUCCGUAUUGGAACCAUGCGAGUAAACGAUGUCGUGUAGGAGGGUGCCGUGGUUGCUAAGAAGCUACUGGCGUGAGUCAGAGUGGAGCGGUCACGGGUACAGAUCUUGG